GUAGGACAGCGCUCUGUUUCGGC
rnacentral:piRNA from 1 species